rnacentral:misc_RNA from 1 species
GUUAAGGAUAAUAGGGAAUGCGCCGCUCAGGCUACAGGUUGAGGUUGGUGGCAAGCACCGGACAAACCUGCAUCCGCGCGCGAGCGAGCGUGACGCCGCAGCUCCGUUGCCAGCGAGCCGCGAUGGCAACUGGUAGGCGGAGCAGCGGAGAGCGGCCAAGUCAGCGUAGGGCGAAGACUACCCGACUUGGCUACCGGCCGCGCCGUCGGCGUACAGCAGUUGAGCAGGGAGCGGUGACCGCACGCGCUCGUAGCAGCAAGUGUUCGUCGUCGUUGCACGGCAGCAGCAGUCGACGACGACGAUAACGAUCACCAUGAUGAGGAGGCGGGCACCGCUCGAGCGACGACGGCGGCGAACGUUGCUGACACACUGAUACCGGUCAGGCAAGCUGACGGUAGCGGCGUCUUUGCCGUUCGUCAACUAGCGGUUCGCCGCGUGGCUCCACCCGUACGUCUCCUCGAUGUU